AGUUGGAAGAUUAGGGCUGAC
rnacentral:miRNA from 9 species